GAUGAAGAACGCAGCGAAAUGCGAUACGUAGUGUGAAUUGCAGAAUUCAGUGAAUCAUCGAAUCUUUGAACGCACAUUGCGCCCGCCAGUAUUCUGGCGGGCAUGCCUGUUCGAGCGUCAUUUCAACCCUCAAGCACAGCUUGGUGUUGGGACUCGCGUUAAUUCGCGUUCCCCAAAUUGAUUGGCGGUCACGUCGAGCUUCCAUAGCGUAGUAGUAAAACCCUCGUUACUGGUAAUCGUCGCGGCCACGCCGUUAAACCCCAACUUCUGAAUGUUGACCUCGGAUCAGGUAGGAAUACCCGCUGAACUUAAGCAUAUCAAUAAGCGGAGGA
rnacentral:misc_RNA from 1 species